UACGUAGGGUGCAAGCGUUGUCCGGAAUCAUUGGGUUUAAAGGGUCCGUAGGCGGUUUUGUAAGUCAGUGGUGAAAUCUGGUCGCUCAACGAUCAAACGGCCAUUGAUACUGCAAGACUUGAAUUACUGGGAAGUAACUAGAAUAUGUAGUGUAGCGGUGAAAUGCUUAGAUAUUACAUGGAAUACCAAUUGCGAAGGCAGGUUACUACCAGUGGAUUGACGCUGAUGGACGAAAGCGUGGGGAGCGAACAGG
rnacentral:rRNA from 1 species